UUAAGCUUGAGAUCGAAUAAGUUGCAUGGACCGAUUAGAACUUUAGGAAGUGAAAACAUUUUUAAUGAGCUUCGAAUGUUGGAUAUCUCUUCCAAUGCCUUCACGGAAAACUUACCGAUGAGUCUGUUUCAACAUUUAAAAGCCAUGAGGGCAAUUGAUCAAACGAUAAAUGCAGCAAGUGAGGAAGGAGAUGAAUAUUACCAAGACACGGUAACUCUUGUAACGAAGGGAUUGGAGCUUGAAGUUGUGAAAAUCCUUUUUUUGUACACCACUAUUGAUCUUUCAAACAAUAAAUUUGAAGGACAUAUUCCAAGUAUUAUGGGAGAUCUCAUUGCACUCCGUGUGCUGAAUUUAUCUCAUAAUGGAUUGGAAGGUCAUAUACCCUCAUCAGUUGGAAGUUUAUCUUUGGUUGAAUCAUUGGACCUGUCAAGUAACCAUCUUGUAGGAGAGAUACCAGCACAAUUUGCUUCUCUUACAUCUCUUGAAGUCAUCAAUCUUUCCUACAAUCAUCUUGAAGGGUGCAUUCCUCAAGGAACUCAACUUCAGACCUUUGAGAGCAAUGCAUAUGAAGGUAAUGAUGGAUUACGUGGAUUACCUGUUUCAAAAGGCUGUGGUAGUUAUGAUAAUGAUUCAGAAUCAGAGAAAAUUGAUACCGGAUCUGAGCUAGAUAAAGAAAGUGACUUUGAAUUUCUGAAUGAUUUUUGGAAAGCUGCUCUUAUGGGGUAUGGAAGUGGAGUAUGUAUUGGAUUAUCGAUAAUAUAUUUCAUGUUCUCAACUGGAAAUCCGAGAUGGCUUGCAAGAAUCAUUGUAGAACUGGAACACAAAAUAAUGAUGGGAAGGAGAAAGAAGCGGCAAAGGAAAAGGCAAAGGCAAUACAGAAGGCAAAGGCAAAGCCGGACUUAACAACUUUUUUUCAAAUUGUAAUUUCAUUUUAGCAUAAAAUAAAAGACUUAACUUUCUUUGUGUAAAUAUAAAAAAUCAGACAGUAAAUAAACAAAUUCAAACAUGCAGGUAGUUGGAGAAGAAUUUGUUGGAAUGCUCAUCAGAGAUGCAAUAAUAUCAGAAACAGCAGCUUAUGGUUUAUAACUUUAGGAAAUGUAAUAUUAUGAAUAUUGAUGAUUUAUUGUGUGUAAAUUUUCCAUUUUUCCAAAAAAAAGAAUAUAAAUAUUGUGUGUGUCCCUGAGGAGACAUUCGAUUGAAAAAAAUGAAGUGUAUUCUUUCGUUAUGGUGAUAUUUCAUGUAGGAAAAGUGAAACAACUGAUAGUUAAGUUGUGUUUCGAUAAAUAGUUGAUGAAAAAUGGGUUUCCAUUGUGCAUUUUUUCGUUGUGUUCCCAUUGUGCAUUUUUUCGUUGUGUUCCCAUUGCGCAUUUUUUUCUACCAACUCAAUAGUCUUUCUGUUGAUCAAAAGAGAGAGAGCAUUCAGAGAAGCUGAAUUGACGGAGGAAGAUAUUUUGCGUGCAACCGAGGGAAAGAGGAUUAACAAGGAAAAAAAACGAAUCUCCCACAAUCGUCUCCAAGGAUGCAUCCCUCAAAGACCUCGAUUUCAUACCAUUAAGGGAAAUUCAUAUGAAGGUAAUGAUAAGUUGCGUGGAUUCCCAGUUUCGAAAGGUUGUGGCAGUGAUCAAUUAUCAGAGGCAAGUUAUACCAUAUCUGUGCUUGAAGAUCUAGAAAGCAAUACUGAAUUUCUCAAUACUAUGUAUUGGAUUAUAUGUAGUAUGUUUCAUGAUUUCAACUGGAAAUCCGAAAUGGCUCGCAAGAAUCAUUGAAGAACUGGAACACAAAAUUAGUAGUGUAUUGAAUGAAAAACCGUCGGGAUCACAUAUCACCCAAAAUCCAUGGACAUAGCACACAAAAAAAGGAAAAAUCGGUAUUUCUCGUUCAGACCUCGUUUGAACUUUUAAAUCUCGACAUUUGAACCUCUGAACUAACGCAUGCCAUUAAAUAGGUCGUCACGGACGCCCACAAAAAAUUUCGACCAAAAAACCGUCGGAAUCACAUAUCACCAAAAUUCAUGGACUAUAGCACAUUAAAAAUGAAAAAAGGGUAUUUCUCAUUCCAGACCUCGUUUAAACUUGAAAAUUUCAAUAUUUUUCACUCUGGACCAACGCACGUCAUUAAUAAAGUCGUCACAGACGCCCAAGAAAAAUUUAUCUGAGAUUUUUUUAGUCUGUAUAGUCCAUUAAGUACACCACUCUGAACUUUGGAAUGUGUUUUUAAGUUGUAUUUCUUGUGUAAGUUGCAUUUGCAGAAUGAGAUUUGCUGCUUCCGUUUGCUGAGGUUUGUGAGUUAAGUGUUACGAAGAGUAAGUUUAGUAUUGACCAUCGGUAUGAAUAACCUCAAAAUUUUGUGAUGAUGGUAAUCGGUAGAUCAGAAAGUAACACAUCAUAUGGUUCUAUUUGAAGAAGAAAACUAAAAAGAUGAUUCUCUAGUCUUUUGUAAGUUUGUUUUCUUUUUGAGAGAAUUUAUUUUUUGUAUGAUGUAAUGUUUACUUGAAAAAAGAUGUAGAUGUGUGUAGCACAUGGAUAGAAAUAAAAAGGCAAAAACAUAACAACCCAAAUUUGACAAAAGAAUGACAAUUUUCUCUGAUAUAUAACAGAAAAAGUGUACGAAUACGACUAUAAGAGAAAGAGAGAGAUUUAUUGUUCUAACACUGGAUAUGGUAAAUGUGAUAGCACAACAAUCCCACAAUCCACUGCAAUAGAUUAGAGAGUACCUUCACGCAAAGAGGUAACAUGAUCAAAUGAUCUGAGAAACAAAAAGUUGUUUCCUGAAUGAAAACAUGUUUAUUUAACUUCACUAGAACUUCAAGGAAUGAAAACACGUUUCCUGAACUUCGAAUCACUGAUCUCUUUCUUCCACUCUUUUUCCAUUGGGGAAUUUGAGAAACUUGCGAGAUCUUUCUCUCAAUGACAGGAAAUUCCUUCAUCUAUGACAUCGCUGACAUUCCUGUAUUUGUCGAGAAACAACUUGAAAGGAAAAAAUCUGCAAUGCUUUGGUAGUAUCACUGCCCUCCAGUUUGUGAUGAUGUCACAUAAUAAUCUCAGUGGAGAGCUCCCUUCGUCUAUUUGAAAUUUAACAUCACUGCAAAUUCUAGAUAUGGGUAGGAACAAUCUAAAGGAAGCAAUAUCCACAAUGUUUUGGCAAUAUGAGUAGUCAUCUUGAGGUUCUGGAUAUGCAACCCAGCAAUCUUUCAGGGACUCUUCCAAUGACUUUUAGAGCCGGAACAUUUAGAAGCUUCUAAAGGGGAAAAUUCCUUAAUCUUUGGCCAAUUGCAAAGAGAUGCAAGUUCUGGAUUUAAAUGAUAAUCAGCUCAACGACACAUUCCCGAUGUGGUUGGGAACUCUUCCUGAAUUGAGAGUUUUAAGCUUGAGAUCGAAUAAGUUGCAUGGAGCCCUUAGAACCUUAGGAAGUGAAAAUAUGUUUCUUGCGCUUCAAUUUGGCAGGUUCUCGAGCUUGACACAUCUUGAUCUCUCAGGUCAAGUUCCUUCUGAAAUGUCUCAUCUUUUAUCAGAAAAAAAUUUAUAUGAUAUGGAAAUAAUUCUCUUUGAUUUUCUUUCUUAGAACCUAUAAUUAUUCUUACUUCGCAUCCGCCUCUGAACACAGGUCGUGGGUAAACAUUUCUUUCCGAAUUCGAAGAGUCUCUUGAUUGGAAACAAAAUAUAUUUAACUCAAAAGUGCUUCUGUUGAUUGAAAUAAGCUGACAAAAAAAAAACAAUUUGUUUUUCUUUAGACAAUUACAAAAGAAUAAGACUUAUUUGAAAGUUCUGUUUUCCUACUUAUUUGGUUUCUUAUGCUAGACCUGAGAAACAACAAAAACUUCCAACAAAAUAGACUUCUUCUUGACUUAAAAUAUUUUCAUCAACAUAUAAGCUUUGAAUUGAUUUCGAUGAAGGAACCAGUCCUUGUUUGGCACUAAUUCUAAAUAUGAUGUCGAUUCAGCUCUCACAAAAGACAAUUUAUUUUCUUUAGACAAAUACAAAACACGGCCGAUUUGAAAGUAAUGUUGUCCUACUUAUUUGUCUUCUUAUACUUGACUAGACCAAUAAUGCAGCCAGUUCAAAAUAUCAUAACUAUAUAUGAUGUUUCAAGUUUCAAAUUAUUCAAAAAGAAAGAGUCCUUGCUAAAUAUAUAUCAGCCUAUAUAUAUUUCUGUAGCCUGUUCUUGAUUUUCACUAUCAACUUUAAACUCAUUGAUGCUAAACAUGGGCUACGGGCAAUUCUCAUUUUUGCUCUUUGUCUGUUUCUGUCAGCUUUCUUUUUCUUCAUCCAUACCUCAUCUGUGCCGCAAAGAUCAAAGCUCCGCUCUUUUAAAAUUCAAGAAAACUCUUACUGUUGAUCCCUCAUUAGUUUUGUGUAAUUUCUACUAUUAUACAAGUUCAUGGAAUAUGAGCAUAGAUUGCUGCUCGUGGGGUGGAGUGAUAUGCGAUGAGAUGACUGGCCAUGUCAUUGAACUUGAUCUCAGUUGCAACAGUCUUGUAGGGAAGAUUGAUUCCAAUAGCAGCCUAUUCCAACUCUCUCAUCUCCAAAGGCUUGAUCUGUCUUUCAAUAACUUCUCCAAUUCUCAUAUCUCCCCUGAAUUCGGCAAGUUUUCGAGCUUGAAGCAUCUUGAUCUUUCUGACUCCUAAUCUUUACAAGUUACAAUCUCUUCUUCUCUCAACAUCUUAUGACACUGUGCCAAAACUCGCAACCUGUGAUUUUAGGUUGCUCCUUCAGAAUUUGACCCUAUUACGAGUGCUUGAUCUUAGAGGUGUAAGCAUCUCUUCCGCCAUUACUCUUAAUUUGUCAUCUCAUUUAACAACUCUCGUGCUUAGGCAAUCAGAGUUGUAUGGAGUAAUACCUGAGAGUAUUUUUCACCUGCCCAAACUGAAAAUACUUGACUUAUCCAGCAAUUAUCAGCUCAGUGGUUAUUUCCCAAAGACCAAAUGGAACAGCAGCGCAUCUCUCACAGAUUUAAAUCUCCAAGGAGUGAAUUUUUCUGGUAAUUUGCCUGAGUCUCUUGGUUAUCUAACGUCAGUGAAAACUUUGUUUCUUGUUCUCUGCAAUAUCUGGGGGACUAUUCCUGAAUCUCUUUCGAAUCUCACUCGCAUAGAGUAUUUGUUCCUUGCAGGUAACUUCCUCAAUGGAACAAUACCAUCAUCGAUAUUAUCCCUUCCAACACUAACUGAUUUAGAAUUGAGUAAUAACCAUUUUUCUGGUCAGCUUGAGGAUAUCAAGUCCAAUUCACUAUUAUCUAUUGAUCUAGGCAAUAAUCAGCUGCAAGGCCAUCUUCCCGAGUCAAUUCAAAACCUUGUGAACCUCACAACUCUUGAUCUUUCUUUCAAUAAUUUUAGUGGUAGUGUGGAUGUCAGCUUCUUUUCAAACCUCAAACAUCUUUCAUCUCUUGGUAAUUCAUAUAAUAGUAUCUCAUUCACAAAUGAAAACAAAGUUAAUUUUACUUUGCCUGAAUCACUUGUGUACUUGCAGUUGGCUGCCUGUGAAGUGAAAGAAUUGGAGUUUCUAAGAUCCGCAAAGAAGCUUGAGCACUUGGAUCUUUCUAAUAAUAAGCUUCAAGGAAGAUUUCCAGAUUGGGCAUCAUCUAACUGGAUGUUUUCAUUGAACAGUCUUAAUCUAUCCCACAACAUGCUGACAAGUGUGGACUUAACUCCUUUUCAAGCUCUAAAAACAAUUGAUUUGCGAUCCAAUUCUCUUCAAGGGUCCCUAUCUAUGCCACCAAAAUUCCACAACAUACUUCUUCAUAUCAGAAAAUAAUCUUAGUGGAGAAAUUCCUUCAUCUAUUUACAACUUCACAUCAUUGGUAAUGCUAGAUUUGGCGAGAAACAACUUGAAGGGAGCAUUUCUGCAAUGUUUGGGUAAUAUCAGUAGCCUCCAGGUUCUGGAUAUGCACCACAACAGUCUUACAGGGACUAUUCCAACAACUUUUAGAUUUGGAAGUUCUUUGAGAAGCCUCAACUUGCACGGCAAUAAACUAGAGGGGAAAAUUCCCCAAUCUUUGGCCAAUUGCAAAGAGUUGCAUGUUCUUGAUUUAGGAGAUAAUCAUCUCAUUGAUAUAUUCCCGAUGUGGUUGGGAACUCUUUCAAAGCUGCAAGUUUUAAGCUUGAGAUCCAAUGAAUUGCAUGGGUCCAUUAGAACUCCAACGAUUGAAAACAUAUUUCCUAAUCUUCGAAUGUUAGAUCUCUCUUCCAAUGCCUUCACCGAAAACUUACCAACGGGUUUGUUUCAACAUUUGAAAGCCAUGAGGACAAUUGAUCAAACUAUGAACGCACCACAUUAUGAAGGAAAUAUUACCAAGACUCGGUAGCUGUCGUAUCUAAGGGAUUUGAGCGUGAAAUUGUGAGAAUCUUGUAUUUGUACACCGUUCUCGAUCUUUCAAGUAAUAAAUUUGGAGGGCAGAUUCCAUGUAUCAUGGGGGAACUCAUUGCAGUUCACAUAUUGAAUAUAUCACAUAAUGGAUUGGAAGGUCAUAUACCGUCAUCACUUGGAAGUUUAUCUUUGGUUGAAUCAUUGGACCUGUCAAGUAACCAUCUUGUAGGAAAUAUACCAGCACAAUUUGCUUCUCUUACAUCUCUUGAAGUUUUCAACCUACAAUCAUCUCGAAGGGUGCAUUCCUCAAGGAAAUCAAUUUCAGACCUUUGAGAACAAUUCAUAUGAAAGUAAUGAUGGAUUACGUGGAUUCCCACUUUCAAAAGGCUGUGGUGAUGAUUCAGUAUCAGAGACAAAUGAUACCGUUUCUGGACUAGACGAUGAAGAAAGCAAUUCUGAAUUUCUGAAUGAUUUUUGGAAAGGUGCUCUUAUGGGCUACGGGAGUGGACUAUGUAUUGGACUAUCCAAAAUAUAUUUCAUGAUUUCAACUGGAAAACCAAUGUGUCUUGCAAGAAUCAUUGUAGAGCUGGAGCACAAAAUAAUGAUGGGAAGGAGAAAGAAGCAGCGAAGGCAAAGGAAUUACAGAAAAAGAAAUAAUCAGUUAUGAUGUCACAGUGGCGAGAUUGAUAAUGAACUAUUUUAUUCGGAAUGGCAAGUAACUGGUUGCAAUAAGCAACUGAUAAUAUCGUUCAGGACUGUUUUAUCUUUUAAAUACGUAUGUGGGAUGAGUUGAUCGUUUCUUCACCUAUUCUUGUUGUUGUUUCUGCACUUGUUUGUGAUGGUUUUCCUUUGAGAGUAAUGGCUUCGUAAUCUGUAUUACCUAUUGAGUACACUGUACUGAACUUCUGGAAUGUGUUUCUUAAGUUGCAUUUCUUGUGUAAGUGCAGAAAGGGAUUUGCUGCUUACGCCAUAUGCCAGACGUCCGCUAGCCGAGGUUUGUACUAGACGUACAUAAAUCACAUACGACGUCAGGUAAAAGUGCACAUUUUGAGAAAAAAAAAAUCAAGAUACCCAUUCUUAAAAAUGACAUUAUUACUAUUUGAGGGGUAUAGGAAUAGUUUAGGGGAAAAAUUCACCCUUUUUCACCUAAGCUCUGCCCCUGGUUUCAGUGAUUUGGUAUUUUCAGGGGAAUAACUCAUAGUUUAAUGGUUUUAUUGUUACAAAAACAGUUACAAAGAGCAAGUUUGAUAAAUAGCUCGUAUUGUUAUGAAGAGUUAAUUUAGAAAUGACCAUCGGUGAAAUUAUCCUCAAAAUUUUGUGAUGAAGGUAAAUGAGAAAGUAACACAACACACAAUUCUAUUUUAAUAACAAAACUAAAAAAGAUGAUUCUCUAUCCUUUUUAAGUUUGUUUUCCUUUUUAGGGAAUUUAUUUUCUGUAUGAUAGAUGUGUAACACAUGGAUUAGAAUUACAUAUGAACAGACAGAAAUGGUUUAAGUGUGAAUGAGAGAAAGAGCAGCCAACAACAUUUGGAGAAAACACGUUUCCGUUUGGUCUUCAAUGAUAAAUUUCAUACAAUAUAAAAUCCUAUAGACCCUCCACAAUAAGUUCAUUGAAAACCCAAAAUAAUAAACUCAAAAUAUGAUGAUGAUUCCAAGCAAAAUAUUCUCUCUACUUCAGUUUUUCACUCUUUUAUAUCUCCUUACAGUUACUUUUGCUUCCAUCGAAGAAGCAACUGCCCUCUUGAAAUGGAAAACAACUUUUAAGAACCGGGAUAAUUUCUUAUUGGCUUCAUGGAAGCCAAGUUCUAAUGCAUGCAGGGACUGGUACGGAGUUAUAUGCUUUAACGGUAAGGUAAACAAGUUGAAUAUUAGAAAUACUAGUGUCAUUGGUACACUUGAUGAUUUUCCAUUUUCAUCUCUCCCUUUUCUUGAGUAUCUUGAUCUUAGCAUGAACCAUUUCUCUGGCACCAUUCCACCUGAAAUUGGUAAACUCACUAAUCUUAUCUAUCUUGAUUUGUCGAGUAAUCAGAUUUCAGGCACAGUACCACCGCAAAUCGGCUCACUAGCCAAGCUUCAGAUCCUCCAUAUCAUUGAAAACCAUUUAAAUAGUUUUAUUCCUGAAGAAAUAGGUCAUCUAAAGUCUCUUACUGAGCUAGAUUUGAGUUCUAACGCACUUAAUGGUUCUAUUCCAACUUCAUUGGGAAAUUUGAACAGCUUGUCUCGUUUGAAUCUUUAUAAAAAUAACCUUUCUGGCUCCAUUCCUGCAGAAAUAGGUUACCUAAGGUUUCUUACCGAUCUACGUUUGAACGAUAACAUUCUUAAUGGUUCUAUUCCUGCUUCAUUGGGGAAUUUGAACAACUUGACUAUUCUGCAUCUUCAUGAUAAUCACCUUUCUGGCCCUAUCCCUGCAGAAAUAGGUUACCUAAGGUCUCUUGUUGGGUUAAGUUUGAAGAAUAACUCUCUUGAUGGUUCUAUUCCUGCUUCAUUGGGGAAUUUGAACAACUUGUCGGUCUUGUAUCUUAAUGGUAAUCACCUUUCUGGCCCUAUUCCUGAAGAAAUAGGUCAUCUAAAGUCUCUUACUGAGCUAGAUUUGAGUUCUAACGCACUUAAUGGUUCUAUUCCAACUUCAUUGGGAAAUUUGAACAGCUUGUCUCGUUUGAAUCUUUAUAAAAAUAACCUUUCUGGCUCCAUUCCUGCAGAAAUAGGUUACCUAAGGUCUCUUGUUGGGUUAAGUUUGAAGAAUAACUCUCUUGAUGGUUCUAUUCCUGCUUCAUUGGGGAAUUUGAACAACUUGUCGGUCUUGUAUCUUAAUGGUAAUCACCUUUCUGGCCCUAUUCCUGAAGAAAUAGGUUAUCUAAGGUUUCUUUUCUGAACUACAAUUGUACGAUAACUCUCUUAAUGGUUCUAUUCCUGCUUCAUUGGGGAAUUUGAACAACUUGUCGGUCUUGUAUCUUAAUGGUAAUCACCUUUCUGGCCCUAUCCCUGCAGAAAUAGGUUACCUAAGGUCUCUUGUUGGGUUAAGUUUGAAGAAUAACUCUCUUGAUGGUUCUAUUCCUGCUUCAUUGGGGAAUUUGAACAACUUGACUAUUCUGCAUCUUCAUGAUAAUCACCUUUCUGGCCCUAUCCCUGCAGAAAUAGGUUACCUAAGGUCUCUUGUUGGGUUAAGUUUGAAGAAUAACUCUCUUGAUGGUUCUAUUCCUGCUUCAUUGGGGAAUUUGAACAACUUGUCGGUCUUGUAUCUUAAUGGUAAUCACCUUUCUGGCCCUAUUCCUGAAGAAAUAGGUCAUCUAAAGUCUCUUACUGAGCUAGAUUUGAGUUCUAACGCACUUAAUGGUUCUAUUCCAACUUCAUUGGGAAAUUUGAACAGCUUGUCUCGUUUGAAUCUUUAUAAAAAUAACCUUUCUGGCUCCAUUCCUGCAGAAAUAGGUUACCUAAGGUCUCUUGUUGGGUUAAGUUUGAAGAAUAACUCUCUUGAUGGUUCUAUUCCUGCUUCAUUGGGGAAUUUGAACAACUUGUCGGUCUUGUAUCUUAAUGGUAAUCACCUUUCUGGCCCUAUCCCUGAAGAAAUAGGUUAUCUAAGGUUUCUUUCUGAACUACAAUUGUACGAUAACUCUCUUAAUGGUUCUAUUCCUGCUUCAUUGGGGAAUUUGAACAACUUGACUAUUCUGCAUCUUCAUGAUAAUCACCUUUCUGGCCCUAUUCCUGAAGAAAUAGGUUAUCUAAGGUUUCUUUCUGAACUACAAUUGUACGAUAACUCUCUUAAUGGUUCUAUUCCUGCUUCAUUGGGGAAUUUGAACAACUUGUCGGUCUUGUAUCUUAAUGGUAAUCACCUUUCUGGCCCUAUCCCUGAAGAAAUAGGUUAUCUAAGGUUUCUUACUGAUCUACAGUUGUACAAUAACUCUCUUAAUGGUUCUAUUCCUGCUUCAUUGGGGAAUUUGAGAAACUUGCAUGUUCUGUCUCUCCAUGAAAACAAUCUGAUUGAGGAAAUUCCUUCAUCUAUUUGCAAUUUAACAUCACUGGUAGUCCUGUAUUUGUCGAGAAACAACUUGAAAGGAAAAAAUCUGCAAUGCUUGGGUAAUAUCAGUGCCCUCCAGUAUGUGAUAAUGUCACAUAAUAGUCUCAGUGGAGAGCUCCAUCCGUCUAUUUGCAAUUUAACAUCACUGCAAAUUCUAGAUUUGGGUAGAAACAAUCUAACCGGAGAAAUUCCGCAAUGUUUGUUGUGCCGUAAUUUUCCUAUUUUCUAGAAAAAUCACUUUUUGAAAUGUUCUAAGUAUAAAAUAAUUUGAAAAAUACUUAGAAAGAGUCGCCACUUAAUUUUUUAAAGAAAUUAAGAAAACUUAUAAAUUUCAAAGAUUUAAACAGAAAAAAUCAUUUGAAAAUACCAAAGAAGGUUCGGGGUUCAAUUUACACUUCGAGAAGGGUUUAAGCAUUCGAAGUGUCCGCUAACAUGCGGUUGACCUGCGACUUGACUAAAAUAUAUUUUGACUAUUUUUUAGAAAAGGUUAUUUAACAUAAAAAGGAAUAACUUACAAUAUUUGGUUAAGAAAAUAAUUAAAUAAAUGACAUAUUUUAUUAUUUUAUUUUUUAGAGAAAAAAGAUCCAAAAUAGAACAUUUGACUCGAAAUACAAGUCAUUAGAAUUUUAAUAAAACUAGAUUAAUUAGAAUUUAUUUAAUUCAUUUUUUUUAACCAAUUUAAUAAAUUAAGGCAUAAAAAUUAUUUUUUAAUUAAUUGACUACCCCUUUUUGAGAAAAUGACUAAGUAAGUAGUUAUAAUAAUAAUUUACAUUAUUAGAUUAACUUUCAAAAAAUAUAGUUAAAUAACGAAUAAUUUUUUAAUUUUUUUUUUGGAAAAUUGGGUCUCAAUUGAAACAACUUGGUCAAUUAGGAUUUUAACAAAAAACUAGAUUAAUUAAAAAUUUAUUUAUGUCAUAUUUUAGAAAUAAUAAUUCGAACCAACUUGGUAGACAAACCAAGACAUUAUUUUAAUCUAAUUAAAGAUGAGUGAAAGUUUUGACUAAAAAUAAAAUAAAAUAUUUGAAUAAGUAUAAGAGUUGAUAAAAUGAAUUAUUUUUAAAGAAACUAACAUAAAGAAUAUGGUUCAUCUUUUGGGGAAUUCAACUAAGUUAAUUAAAAAUUCUAAAGUUAGAGUUAAACAACAAAUAAUGAGUAAUCGCAAUUAAAUAAUUGAAGCGUAAGGGAGAAAUUGAAUUUGGGCCUUUCUUGGGCCAAAUUCGCUACUGUUUUUGGGAAUUUUACUCAAUCCCGUUUUUGUAUAUAUUGUUUGUAUAUUAGUGUAUAUGAGCAUAUAUAUUAGCUCUUUUCAUGUAUCUCUUGCUUCCGAAUGUCUAUAUGUCNNNNNNNNNNNNNNNNNNNNNNNNNNNNNNNNNNNNNNNNNNNNNNNNNNNNNNNNNNNNNNNNNNNNNNNNNNNNNNNNNNNNNNNNNNNNNNNNNNNNNNNNNNNNNNNNNNNNNNNNNNNNNNNNNNNNNNNNNNNNNNNNNNNNNNNNNNNNNNNNNNNNNNNNNNNNNNNNNNNNNNNNNNNNNNNNNNNNNNNNNNNNNNNNNNNNNNNNNNNNNNNNNNNNNNNNNNNNNNNNNNNNNNNNNNNNNNNNNNNNNNNNNNNNNNNNNNNNNNNNNNNNNNNNNNNNNNNNNNNNNNNNNNNNNNNNNNNNNNNNNNNNNNNNNNNNNNNNNNNNNNNNNNNNNNNNNNNNNNNNNNNNNNNNNNNNNNNNNNNNNNNNNNNNNNNNNNNNNNNNNNNNNNNNNNNNNNNNNNNNNNNNNNNNNNNNNNNNNNNNNNNNNNNNNNNNNNNNNNNNNNNNNNNNNNNNNNNNNNNNNNNNNNNNNNNNNNNNNNNNNNNNNNNNNNNNNNNNNNNNNNNNNNNNNNNNNNNNNNNNNNNNNNNNNNNNNNNNNNNNNNNNNNNNNNNNNNNNNNUUUGCACAGUAAACUGCAAAUGAUUGAAUAUUAUGCUUUUUACAAUAAAAAGGGGAUUAGCAACAUGCCUCUUAUAGUAAAACGAAUAUAUUUCAUGGAAUAAAUAAGUUAGCAAAUAAUGCUAACAAUUUGGGAAGAGACAAGAACUAGAAGUAAACCAAAAGUUAGAAGGAAACAACAUCUCCAAAUUUAUACAAACUCCACUGUAAAUGGCGAACAACUCUUGGUAAAAAUUUUGUUUUUUAUUUUUUAUUUUUUAGAUAAAAUAAAGGUCAAUACUUGAUUCAAACAUAUCAUAUUAGGUAGUGAGAUAACAAAAAACCUCAUGAGGUAAAAAAAAAAAAAAAAAAAAAAAAAAAAAAAGAAAAAAAAGAAAAGACAGCCCAAAAAUUACAAGUCGUGACCCAAAAUAUUGAAAUUUCAAUCUUAGCAUGAUUCAUGGUGAAAAUAACAGAAAGAUGGAGCAGUAAACGGACACGAAAUGAACACUCGAGAGGCCUGAAAUAAUCAAUUUAUCGACUCAAUCUUAACUUGGUCAAACUAAGCCAGACUCGAAAUAACUUAACUCAACAUAAAAAAGUGACGAAGACUACACAACUAAUACUAUUACGAAUGAGAUUUAAGAGGUACAAGCAACUAAUAUAAGGACUAUAUAUGCUACUUAGUUGAACAUAGAUAGAGCACACACCAUAAGAAAAGGCAGUAAACUACUCAGCUCACACUAUUUAUACUAGCUAACAUAAAUGGAAAUAAGCCCACACAUCAGAUUGCAAAAACUAGCAUUUCGGACUCGAAAAGUUCACAAUUGAGCUAAGUCAUGGCAACCAGGUGAGAUCACUCAAUUUAAUGAGAAGAAACUAACAUGAAGUAAAUAAUCUCAGCUAAAAGGGGUCAUCAAAUUUCAAACAACAAAAAGAAAGAAGAACCGAAAUCAAAAUGACUAAACUAAGCGAGUGGUCAGACCACCUAUAUUGCCGAUUUACAGCCAACGUUCAGCCAUAAUGUGCCCCAAAUCAUAACAUUUGAACACUUACUCAGUCGAGAAUCAAGUAAUCAACACAUCUAAGGAUAAGGAGACAUGGGUUGAAAUUAGAUAUUACCUUUUGAGAGGCAGAGAACUGGGAAUGACGAGCUUCGAAUAACGACGAGCUUCCACCACCACAACAAAGUUUCGUUGGAGAAUCCUCCGAGUUCCCGAAACCAAAAGCCUCGAUUCCAAUGAAGUUAUUUGAGUCGUUCUUAAUAUCCAAAAUAUUUAUGUUUUUCGAGGUGAAAUUAGGUGAUCCUAAAAAAUAUGUUCUCUUUUUCGGUCUCCUCCCUCUCUGCCCUUACAGUGAACAUAAUAGGGGUAUAUAUAGGGGAGAUUCGAAUUAAGGAAGGGGGGAAAAUCGAAUUGAAAAGAUGGGUAAGGAUGAAAUUCAAAAUUUUGAAUUUUCUUCCUCCUUACCCAGGGCAACAGGGAAGGGAUUUAGAAAAUCCCAGAAAAGGAGGAAAAGGGACGUGAGGGUGGUUGGAUUAGGUUGCUAGGGUAUGGGUUCUGCAGGGUAGUUGGAUGAGAUUUUUGCAGCGCGAUUUCUGGGUUUGUUCUGCUUGCUGCAUCGUUUCGCUGAAGAAGAAGAAGCGUGGACCUGUUUGGCACUGCUGUACGCAUUACUGUUGAUGUAUUGUUGAAUGGAAUUGUUGGAUCUUUUCUAUUGUGGGCUGAUGGGUCUUUGUGGGCUAGGGGAAUUGGAAAUGGAGAAUAAUGGGCUGCUGAAACAUAUUUUAUGAAGGCCCAAAUUUUUAAUCCUUCAAUAUAGCUAAAUGAAUUAAGAAAAUAGCCAAAUUGAGUUGAUUUACCGAAUUCGGCUAGAAUUGAAAUACGAUGAAUCAAUACAAUUAAUUUACGAGCUUCUUAGUCUCAAUGACAUAAAAUAAUUAAUUCGAUUGUAAAAUAAUUAAUUUAAUUACAAACUAAUUAACUCGAAAUUAUAACUAUAACUUAGACUAAACCAAAUUAAUAAGAUAUUUAACUAGGAUGUAAAAUCUUUUAUGAUGAUUUUUGAAUAUUUAUAAAAUAACGUGAUUGCAAAAAUAUACAUAUUUAUUAUUAAAAAAUGAUAAAAUUACUUUUAAAAAAAAUAACUUGAAAGUAUUUUGAAUUUUCAUAAAACUCAUUAAUUCAAAAUUAUAGCCAUUCCUAAUAUUAAAAAUAUAAAAUCUUUUUUGAGACGAUUCUCGAAUAAUCAUAAAAUAUACUAAUUAUAUACAUAAUUAUGUAAAACAUAUAUAUUAUCUAAAAAUUAUGAAAAGUGACAAAACUAUUUAAAAAUCUUGCAACUAUAUUAUUAUUUUUUGGAAAUUUUAUAAAACUAAUUAUUUUAAAUUGUUUGAAAUUGGAGAAGCUCGAAAUGAUUAAUUUAUAUUGUGGAGGGUCAAAAUUGGGUGUCCACAAUGUUUUGGAAACAUGAGUGGUCAUCUUGAGGUUCUGGAUAUGCAACACAACAAUCUUUCUGGAACUCUUCCAACAACUUUUAGGGCUGGAACACUUAGAAGCUUCAACUUGCAUGGCAAUAAACUUAAGGGGAAAAUUCCCCAAUCUUUGGUCAAUUGCAAAGAGAUGCAAGUUCUUGAUUUAGGAGAUAAUCACCUCAACGACACAUUCCCAAUGUGGUUGGGAACUCUUCCUAAGUUGAGAGUUUUAAGCUUGAGAUCGAAUAAGUUGCAUGGACCGAUUAGAACUUUAGGAAGUGAAAACAUGUUUAUUGAACUUCGAAUGUUGGAUAUCUCUUCCAAUGCCUUCACAGAAAACUUACCGACGAGUCUGUUUCAACAUUUAAAAGCCAUGAGGACAAUUGAUCAAGCGAUGAAUGCACCAAGUGAUGAAGGAGAUGAAUAUUAUUAUCAAGAUACUGUAGCUGUCGUAUCCAAGGGAUUUGAGCAUGAAAUUGUGAGAAUCCUGUUUUUGUACACCACUAUCGAUCUUUCAAACAACAAAUUUGAAGGAUAUAUUCCAAGUUUUAUGGGAGAUCUCAUUGCACUUUGUGUGCUGAAUUUAUCUCAUAAUGGACUGCAAGGUCAUAUACCGCCAUCACUUGGAAGAUUAUCUUCAGUUGAAUCAUUGGACCUUUCAGGUAACCAUUUUGUAGGAGAGAUACCAGCACAAUUUGCUUCUCUUACUUCUCUUGCAGUCUUAAAUCUCUCCUACAAUCAUCUCGAAGGGUGCAUUCCUCAAGGAAAUCAAUUUCAGACCUUUGAGAACAAUUCAUAUGUAGGUAAUGAUGGAUUAAGUGGAUUUCCACUAUCAAAAGGCUGUGGUAGUGAUGAUAAUGAUUCGGAGACAAAUGAUACCACAUAUGAAAUAGAUGAUGAAGAAAGCGACUCUGAAUUUCUGAAUGAUUUUUGGAAAGCUGCUCUUAUGGGGUAUGGAAGUGGACUGUGUAUUGGGUUAUCGAUAAUAUAUUUCAUGUUCUCAACUGGAAAUCCGAUAUGGCUUGCAAGAAUCAUUGUAGAACUGGAACACAAAAUAAUGAUGGGAAGGAGAAAGAAGCGCAGCAAAGGUAAAGGAGUAACAGAAGAAGCAAAUAAUCGCAUGUAGAAGAGUUAAAACUUCAGGUAUAUAUGCAGUUAAGUUCUAGUUUGAGCUUUAGAUUAUUGCAGCUAACUAUAUCUGAAUUUUCAUAUUAGUUAUAUCAGAAACUAAUUGAAUGCUCUACAAAGCCCUAUUUUUCUGUCCAAAAUUAGUUGGAAGCUGUGAUCCAGUUAUCUGGUUAGAGGCUUGGUUUAACAAGUGCUUCAAGUGUGAACCAACAGAUAAUUAGUUUUAGAGCAAAAUUCGCCGGACAUAAUAACUUUUUUUCAAAUUGUAAUUUCAUUUUAGCAUAUAAUAAAGACUUGACUUUCUUUGUGUAAAUAUAAACAUCAGACAGUAAAUAAACAAAUUCAAACAUGCAGGUGGUUGGAGAAGAAUUUGUUGGAAUGCUCAUCAGAGAUACAAUAAUUAAUAUCAGAAACUGCAGCUUAUGGUUUAUAAGUAGGCUUUUUAUUCUUCCUUUAUUAACUUUAGGAAAUGUAAUACUAUGAUAUAUCAAGUUAUGUAAUGUUUUAAUGUAUUCAAUGAAAUAUGAUGUGUAGAUUUUCCAUUGUACCAAAAAAGAAAAUAAACAAUUUGUUGGAAUGCUCAUCAGAGAUGCAAUAUUAUCAGAAACUUCAGGUUUUGGUUUAUAAGUAGACUUUUUUAUUCUUCCAUUAUUAACUUUAUAUGAAGGUAAUGAUGAAUUGCGUGGAUUCCCAGUUUCGAAAGGUUGUGGCAGUGAUCUAUUAUCAGAGGCAAGUUAUAUAUAUAGCAUAUCUGUGCUUGAAGUUCAAGAAAGCAAUACUGAAUUUCUCUAUAUUUUUUUGAAAAGCUGCUCAAUUAUAAGCUAUGAAAUUGGACUAUAUGUGGUAUGUUUCAUGGUUUCAUGGUUUCAACUGAAUAUCCGAAAUGGCUCGCAAGAAUCAUUGAAGAAUUGGAACACAAAAUUAUUAUGCAGAGCAAAGAAGAAGAUUAAGCAAAUUAAUGUAUUCAAUGAAGAAGUUUAUGCAUUUCUUUUUAAUCUUGUUUUCUUUUUGAGGGAAUUUAUUUUCUAUAUGAUAGUCUUUUUUACUUGAAAAAUGAUGUGUAACACAUGGAUAAAAAAGAAAGACAAAAACAAAAAAGCAAAAAAAUUAACAUGACAAUGACAAAUUUUGUCUAAUAAAAUAUGAUCAGACAAAGUGUGAAUAAGACUAUAAAGAAUAAAAUAUGAUGAUUAUUUCAACAACCAAAAUAAUUCUUUAUUCUUUUUUACUUGAAAAAUGAUGUGUACCACAUGGAUAAAAAAAGGAAAGAGAAAACAAAAAAGCAAAAAAAUUGACAUGACAACGACAAAUUUUGUCUAAUAAAAUAUGAUCAGACAAAGUGUGAAUAAGACUAUAAAAAAUAAAAUAUGAUGAUUAUUUCAACAACCAAAAUAAUUCUUUAUUGGUUUAAAAUUUAUAUAUUGACUCCGAUAUUAAAAAAUUGGGUCGGUUCUCUUUCUCGAAUGGGUCAAAUUAUUAGGGUGGGUUGUUAAAAAUGGAUAGUAUAUUAUCAAGGGAAAAUGCAUAAUUACCCCCAGCCUAUGCCCAAAAUCCAUGAGAUACACCUAACCUUUACUAAGGUUCUAUUACCCCCCGAACUUAUUUUAUAUAUAAUUUUCUACCCCUUUUCGGCCUACGUGGCACUAUCUUGUGGGCCCAGCGCGUGUUGACAAUUUUUUCAAGGAUAGUGCCACGUUGGCCAAAAUGGGGUAGAAAAUUAUAUAUAAAAUAAGUUCGGGGAGGUAAUAGGACCUUAGUAAAGGUUAGGUGUGUCUCAGGGAUUUGGGGCAUAGGCUGAAGGGGUACUUAUGCAUUUUCCCUAUUAUCAAUAGUUAAGUAAUCAUGUGAGAAAUUAACAAUAUCUGCUAUAUAAAUUUUCAUAACUAGUCAUAUCGCCUUACUUAAAUUCGUUUCAGUCUAAUAAAAAGUACAUUAGAAAUGUUAAUGCAGUGUAGAAAUUUAUUUAUCUAAGAUGGAACAUGUCUACUACAUUAGAGAUAAAAAAUGAGAACCAAACAUAAAUACUCAUAACCAUGUGAUCUUGUCUGAUAACACAACAAAUUAUUUGGUUAAUUAAGUCUCUGUCUGAAUUAAAAUAUUAUUCCAUGCCCUUUUUCUUUUGUUACUUAAUAUAAUUUUCAGCGACUAUAUUGAUAAUCAACUAUAUGUUUUUUUAAAAAUAUAAUGGUAUGAUUUUUAUAUAUUUAUGUACUAUUUGCAUGUCCAAAUAAAAAAGGGAAAAUGCAUAAGUACCCCCCCAGCCUAUGCCCGAAAUCUCAGAGACACACCUAACCUUUACUAAGGUCCUAUUAUCCCCCCGAAGUUAUUUUAUAUGUAAUAUUCUACCCCUUUUUGACCUACGUGGCACUAUCUUGUGGGCCCAGUGCACGUUGACAAAUUUUUCAAGGAUAGUGCCACGUAAGCCGAAAAGGGGUAGAAUAUUAUAGAUAAAUUAAGUUCGGGGGUAAUAGGACCUUAGUAAAGGUUAGGUGUGUCUCUGAGAUUUCGGGCAUAGGCUGGGGGGGUACUUAUGCAUUUUCCCUUUUUUAUUUGGACAUGCAAAUAGUACAUAAAUAUAUAAAAAUCAUACCAUUAUAUUUUAAGAGAAAAAAUAAAAAGAUGAUUAUCUACUCCAUUAAGCUUUUAAUUUUUUUCUUCUGAGGGAAUUUAUUUUGUGUAGAUGUGUAACACAUGUAUAAAAGAAGAAGAAAAAAAUGGAACAACUCAAAUUUGACUUUUGCAUUGACUUGAGAAUGCAUGACAAUAUUUUCUCUGAUAAAAUAUGAACAUAAAGAGAGAGAGAGCAGCCGAAAUUUGGUCUUUAACGAUAAGUUAGGUACAAUAUAAAAUCCUAUGAACCCUCCACAAUUAGUUCAUUGAAAUCCAAAACAUGAUGACCAAAAUAUUCUCUUUACUUCAGUUUUUCACUCUUUUAUAUCUCCUUACAGUUACUUUUGCUUCCGUCGAGGAAGCAACUUCCCUACUGAAAUGGAAAGCAACUUUCAAGAACCAGAACAACUCCUUAUUCGCUUCAUGGACACCAAGUUCUAACUCAUGCAGGGAUUGGUAUGGAGUUAUAUGCUUUAACGGUAGAGUAAACAUGUUGAAUAUUACAAAUACUAGUGUCAUUGGUACACUCGAUGAUUUUCCAUCUUCUUCUCUCCCUUUUCUUGAGUAUCUUGAUCUUAGCAUGAACUAUUUCUCUGGCACCAUUCCACCUGACAUUGGUAAACUCACUAAUCUUAUUUAUCUUGAUUUGUCAAGUAAUCAGAUUUCAGGCAUAGUACCACCGCAAAUCAGCUCAUUAGCCAAGCUUCAGAUCCUCCAUAUGUUUGACAACCAUUUAAAUGGUUUCAUUCCUGAAGAAAUAGGUCAUCUAAAGUCUCUUACUGAGCUAGAUUUGAAUUUUAACACUCUUAAUGGUUCUAUUCCUGCUUCAUUGGGGAAUUUGAACAACUUGACUAUUCUGCAUCUUCAUUGAUAAUCACCUUUCUGGUUCUAUCCCUGAAGAAAUAGGUUACCUAAGGUCUCUUACUGAUCUGCAGUUGUACGAUAACUCUCUUGAUGGUUCUAUUCCUGCUUCAUUUGGGAAUUUGACCAACUUGUCCAUUUUGUAUCUUUAUGAUAAUCAACUUUCUGGCCCUAUUCCUGCAGAAAUAGGUUACCUAAGGUCUCUUACUGAGAUAGAUUUGAGUUCUAACACUCUUGAUGGUUCUAUUCCAACUUCAUUGGGAAAUUUGACCAGCUUGUCCAUUUUGUAUCUUUUUGAUAAUCACCUUUCUGGCCUUAUUCCUGCAGAAAUAGGUUACCUAAGGUCUCUUACUGAUCUGCGGUUGUACAAUAACUCCCUUAAUGGUUCUAUUCCUGCUUCAUUUGGGAAAUUUUGACCAACUUGUCCAUUUUGUAUCUUUAUGAUAAUCAACUUUCUGGCCCUAUUCCUGCAGAAAUAGGUUACCUAAGGUCUCUUACUGAUCUGCAGUUGUACGAUAACUCUCUUGAUGGUUCUAUUCCUGCUUCAUUGGGGAAUUUGAACAACUUGACUAUUCUGCGUCUUGAUGGUAAUCACCUAUUUGGCUUUAUUCCUGAGGAAAUAGGUUACCUAAGGUCUCUUACUGAGAUAGAUUUGAGUUCUAACACUCUUGAUGGUUCUAUUCCAACUUCAUUGGGAAAUUUGACCAGCUUGUCCAUUUUGUAUCUUUUUGAUAAUCACCUUUCUGGCCUUAUUCCUGCAGAAAUAGGUCACCUAAGGUCUCUUACUGAUCUGCGGUUGUACAAUAACUCCCUUAAUGGUUCUAUUCCUGCUUCAUUGGGGAAUUUGAACAACUUGACUAUUCUGCGUCUUGAUGGUAAUCACCUAUUUGGCUUUAUUCCUGAAGAAAUAGGUUACCUAAGGUCUCUUACUGAUCUGCGGUUGUACAAUAACUCCCUUAAUGGUUCUAUUCCUGCUUCAUUGGGGAAUUUGAACAACUUGACUAUUCUGCGUCUUGAUGGUAAUCACCUAUUUGGCUUUAUUCCUGAAGAAAUAGGUUACCUAAGGUCUCUUACUGAUCUGCGGUUGUACAAUAACUCCCUUAAUGGUUCUAUUCCUGCUUCAUUGGGGAAUUUGAACAACUUGACUAUUCUGCGUCUUGAUGGUAAUCACCUAUUUGGCUUUAUUCCUGAAGAAAUAGGUUACCUAAGAUUUCUUACUGAUCUACGUUUGAACGAUAACUUUCUUAAUGGUUCUAUUCCUGCUUCAUUGGGGAAUUUGAACAACUUGACUAUUCUGCGUCUUGAUGGUAAUCACCUAUUUGGCUUUAUUCCUGAAGAAAUAGGUUACCUAAGAUUUCUUACUGAUCUACGUUUGAACGAUAACUUUCUUAAUGGUUCUAUUCCUGCUUCAUUGGGGAAUUUGAACAACUUGACUAUUCUGCGUCUUGAUGGUAAUCACCUAUUUGGCUUUAUUCCUGAAGAAAUAGGUUACCUAAGAUUUCUUACUGAUCUACGUUUGAACGAUAACUUUCUUAAUGGUUCUAUUCCUGCUUCAUUGGGGAAUUUGAACAACUUGACUAUUCUGCGUCUUGAUGGUAAUCACCUAUUUGGCUUUAUUCCUGAAGAAAUAGGUUACCUAAGAUUUCUUACUGAUCUACGUUUGAACGAUAACUUUCUUAAUGGUUCUAUUCCUGCUUCAUUGGGGAAUUUGANNNNNNNNNNNNNNNNNNNNNNNNNNNNNNNNNNNNNNNNUUGAGUUUUAACACUCUUAAUGGUUCUAUUCCUGCUUCAUUGGGGAAUUUGACCAUCUUGUCCAUUUUGUAUCUUGAUGGUAAUCACCUUUCUGGCCCUAUCCCUGAAGAAAUAGGUUACCUAAGGUCUCUUACUGAUCUGCGGUUGUACAAUAACUCUCUUAAUGGUUCUAUUCCUGCUUCAUUGGGGAAUUUGAGAAACUUGCAAGUUCUGUCUCUCAAUGACAACAAUCUGAUUGAGGAAAUUCCUUCAGCUAUUUGCAAUUUAACAUCACUGGUAAUCCUGUAUUUGUCGAGAAACAACUUGAAAGGAAAAAUUCUGCAAUGCUUGGGUAAUAUCAGUGCCCUCCAGUAUAUGAUGAUGUCACAUAAUAAUCUCAAUGGAGAGCUCCCUUCGUCUAUUUGCAAUUUAACAUCACUACAAAUUCUAGAUUUAGGUAGAAACAAUCUAAAGGGAGCGAUUCCACAAUGUUUUGGCAACAUGAGUGGUCAUCUUGAGGUUCUGGAUAUGCAACACAACAAUCUUUCUGGAACUCUUCCAACGACUUUUAGAGCUGGAACAUUUAGAAGCUUCAACUUGCAUGGCAAUAAAAUAAAGGGGAAAAUUCCCCAAUCUUUGGCCAAUUGUAAAGAGAUGCAAGUUCUUGAUUUAGGAGAUAAUCACCUCAACGACACAUUCCCGAUGUGGUUGGGAACUCUUCCUAAGUUAAGAGUUUUAAGCCUGAGAUCGAAUAAGUUGCAUGGACCGAUCAGAAAUUUAAGAAGUGAAAACAUUUUUCUUGAGCUUCGAAUGUUGGAUAUCUCUUCCAAUGCCUUCACGGAAAACUUACCGAUCAGUCUGUUUCAACAUUUAAAAGGAAUGAGGACAAUUGAUCAAACGAUGAAUGCACCAAGUGAUGAAGGAGAUGAAUAUUACCAAGACUCAGUAGCUGUCGUAACAAAGGGAUUGGAGCGUGAAGUUGUGAGAAUCUUGUUUUUGUACACUACAAUCGAUU
rnacentral:lncRNA from 1 species